GACGAACGCUGGCGGCGUGCUUAACACAUGCAAGUCGAACGGAAAGGCCCUGCUUUUGUGGGGUGCUCGAGUGGCGAACGGGUGAGUAACACGUGAGUAACCUGCCCUUGACUUUGGGAUAACUUCAGGAAACUGGGGCUAAUACCGGAUAGGAGCUCCUGCUGCAUGGUGGGGGUUGGAAAGUUUCGGCGGUUGGGGAUGGACUCGCGGCUUAUCAGCUUGUUGGUGGGGUAGUGGCUUACCAAGGCUUUGACGGGUAGCCGGCCUGAGAGGGUGACCGGCCAAAUUGGGACUGAGAUACGGCCAAGACUCCUACGGGAGGAAGCAGUGGGGAAUAUUGCACAAUGGGCGGAAGCCUGAUGCAGCAACGCCGCGUGCGGGAUGACGGCCUUCGGGUUGUAAACCGCUUUCGCCUGUGACGAAGCGUGAGUGACGGUAAUGGGUAAAGAAGCACCGGCUAACUACGUG
rnacentral:rRNA from 1 species